CCUACGGGACGCAGCAGUGGGGGAUAUUGCACAAUGGGGGGAACCCUGAUGCAGCGACGCCGCGUGGGUGAAGAAGCGCCUCGGCGCGUAAAGCCCUGUCAGCAGGGAAGAAAAUGACGGUACCUGAAGAAGAAGCCCCGGCUAACUACGUGCCAGCAGCCGCGGUAAUACGUAGGUGGCGAGCGUUGUCCGGAAUUACUGGGUGUAAAGGGAGUGUAGGCGGGAAAGCAAGUCAGAAGUGAAAAAUAUGGGCUUAACCCAUAGCCUGCUUUUGAAACUGUUUUUCUUGAGUGAAGUAGAGGCAA
rnacentral:rRNA from 1 species